rnacentral:rRNA from 1 species
GAUUGAACGCUGGCGGUAUGCUUAACACAUGCAAGUCGAACGGAAACGAUACUAGCUUGCUAGUAGGCGUCGAGUGGCGGACGGGUGAGUAACGCGUAGGAAUCUGCCUGAUAGUGGGGGAUAGCCCGAAGAAAUUCGGAUUAAUACCGCAUAAUCUAUUCGUAGUAAAGUGGGGGACUUUCGAGCCUCACGCUAUCAGAUGAGCCUGCGUAAGAUUAGCUUGUUGGUGGGGUAAAAGCCCACCAAGGCGACGAUCUUUAGCUGGUCUGAGAGGAUGAUCAGCCACAUCGGGACUGAGACACGGCCCGAACUCCUACGGGAGGCAGCAGUGGGGAAUAUUGGACAAUGGGGGCAACCCUGAUCCAGCAAUACCGCGUGUGUGAAGAAGGCCUGAGGGUUGUAAAGCACUUUCAAUUGUGAAGAAAAGUUAGCGGUUAAUAACCGUUAGCCUUGACGUUAACUUUAGAAGAAGCACCGGCUAACUCCGUGCCAGCAGCCGCGGUAAUACGGAGGGUGCAAGCGUUAAUCGGAAUUACUGGGCGUAAAGCGUGCGUAGGCGGUUUAUUAAGUCAGAUGUGAAAGCCCCGGGCUUAACCUGGGAACUGCAUUUGAAACUGGUCAACUAGAGUAUGGUAGAGGAAAGUGGAAUUUCUGGUGUAGCGGUGAAAUGCGUAGAUAUCAGAAGGAACAUCAAUGGCGAAGGCAGCUUUCUGGACCAAUACUGACGCUGAGGUACGAAAGCGUGGGUAGCAAACAGGAUUAGAUACCCUGGUAGUCCACGCCGUAAACGAUGAUAACUAGCCGUUGGGGGGAUUUACCCUUUAGUGGCGAAGCUAACGCGUUAAGUUAUCCGCCUGGGGAGUACGGCCGCAAGGUUAAAACUCAAAGGAAUUGACGGGGACCCGCACAAGCGGUGGAGCAUGUGGUUUAAUUCGAUGCAACGCGAAGAACCUUACCUGGUCUUGACAUCCUGCGAACUUUCUAGAAAUAGAUUGGUGCCUUCGGGAACGCAGUGACAGGUGCUGCAUGGCUGUCGUCAGCUCGUGUCGUGAGAUGUUGGGUUAAGUCCCGUAACGAGCGCAACCCCUAUCCUUAUUUGCCAGCACAUUAUGGUGGGAACUAUAAGGAGACUGCCGGUGAUAAACCGGAGGAAGGCGGGGACGACGUCAAGUCAUCAUGGCCCUUACGACCAGGGCUACACACGUGCUACAAUGGGAAGGACAAAGAGCCGCGAAGCCGCGAGGUGUAGCUAAUCUCAUAAACCUUUUCGUAGUCCGGAUUGGAGUCUGCAACUCGACUCCAUGAAGUCGGAAUCGCUAGUAAUCGUAGAUCAGAAUGCUACGGUGAAUACGUUCCCGGGUCUUGUACACAC